rnacentral:tRNA from 1 species
AGGCCCUUAGCUCAGUCGGUAGAGCAGCUGACUCUUAAUCAGCGGGUCCGGGGUUCGAGUCCCCGAGGGCCUACCA